AGAAAGAAAGACUUAGACAAUUCCCUUGAGAGCUGGCAACAGUUGGUAGGACCCUAACUACAAAUGUAGUGCAACACACAUUUCUGUCCAGCCAUAUUUUGGGACCCCCAACCUGAGGGUGGAGCUGCCUGUGUACACAAGAACGGACAACCUGUAUGUCCCAGGCAAACAGAAUGUGGAUCCAAGUUUCCAGGACACUGAACAACACAAACAACAAGGAAACAGCUGUCCCUGGGAGAGAAAAGAGCAACAAACAAUGAAGACCCCAAAACCAAAUCUGUAAGAGUCUGGAUUUGGAAAGUGACAUGAGAUUUUACUUUCCUUUCUCAGCCUGCCACCUCUGACAUCAGGAGACCGACUGGUAUUAAAAGGAGCUCUGGGAUGUUCAAGAAAUAAAUAUUACAUAGGAAUCUUUAAUAAAUACACAAGCCGUCUGGACCCCAAUCUCCACUUCUCAACCAUAAUUAAUAAAAAAGAGGAGGCAGCAACAAGCAUGGACCUGGGCAAAGAAGCAAACCCAUUAUGGAAUUCUAAGUGUCCUGUUACUUAACCAAAAGAAGUUGAAAAAAUGGUGGCUUAGAAUACUUAGAUCUAAUGACUCAGUGACAAAUGGAUGGACUGGACUAUAUAAGGGGCCAGACACAGAGCCCCUGUGGCAAGCUCAUCUCAGAGGUCCCCAACACUAGAUGACAGACGUGUGCUCUGAGGCUGGCUCUUGCUCAUCUGCUCAUGCUCCUGCUCUGUCACAGAUUUGUCACUCUACUGAACUGUCUCAGCUGCAUCUCCUUCCCCUUGGGAAAGACAAAGGCUGACUGGGACAGCCUGAACUCGAACCAUCCAUCAUGACCAGUAUGAGAGGUACUGAUCUGUGACAUGUGUGAUUUUCAGAUAUGUGUGAUUCCCCCUUUGAGUGUUGUGUGAAAGGAAAUUGCAAAAUAAACUGUGAUUUGUGCAACCAUAAGUGUUAAUUUCAUUACUCCACCACCCUGCAGAUCUAUACUUCCUGACCCACUUGCAUCACCUUCCUACAGGGAGAGUAGAGGAAAACCUAGAAAACAGUUUUCCCCACUCAGAUCCAAUACCCAGUACUUUUUUACUCCAAACCCUUCCCCAUUACCCUUCUCCUGACUUUAGGGUCCAUAAAACUGCCUGAGCCUUUUGCUGGGGCUCCCUCAAUAGUGAGAGGACUCCCACCCGUCUCAGUCCUGAUCCAUCUGCCUUUAACCUGUGCACUGUCCAUAGGGGUGUUGGGAGGAAGAAAUUUCCUCUACCUUUCAAGGUUCUUCAAGCUGGUCUAAGAAUCAAAUUGAAAAGAGACAGGAGGAAAAAACAAAUUUAAUUAUAUACCUAAGGGGAAACUAUAGACAAAUAAUAGAGACAGUCAGGGAAAAUGAAGUAUAUAUGUUAUCCUCAAUCAAGGGCAAGAGGUGAGGAGUCUGAGGUUUCAAAGGACUAUGAAAGAUUAAAUGUUUGGUAAACAAAUAAUUUGUUGGGCCACACAGAAAUAGUGGGACACAGAGAAGAAUAUUAAUAGACUGAGCCACAUCCCUGCCUACCAUACCUAGUUCACAUUAUAAUAUUGUUAUCUAUGGUGAUAGUUCUCCUCCUGGAGUUUCUCCAUCUAAAUUAUUUUU